rnacentral:rRNA from 1 species
UACGGAGGGGGCUAGCGUUGUUCGGAAUUACUGGGCGUAAAGCGCACGUAGGCGGCUUUGCAAGUCAGAGGUGAAAGCCCGGGGCUCAACCCCGGAAUUGCCUUUGAGACUGCAUCGCUAGAAUUGUGGAGAGGUAAGUGGAAUUCCGAGUGUAGAGGUGAAAUUCGUAGAUAUUCGGAAGAACACCGAGUGGCGAAGGCGACUUACUGGACACAUAUUGACGCUGAGGUGCGAAAGCGUGGGGAGCAAACAGG